UCGAAGUCUGUAAAAUGAAUAUGUAUGAACCUAUUGUGAAAUUGUAUGCAUAUGUAUUUGGGGAGAAAGAUAAAAAGGGGACCUGAAGAUCCCAGAAGUACGCAUGCCUUUUAAGGGGAGUAAUCCCCGCAUGCGUUCAGCGCUGCAAUAAACAUACCGGCUUUACAACUCUUACAAAGUUGUGGAGUUUUUGAUUUUCUCCGCAAAACAUUCUGGCGAGCCAGGCAGGAGAUUCCGUCUCUGUCCCCGCAGGGCAGAAGGGAUAGAGGGACCUCCUAGGCGCGCCCCGGGAUCUUCCCGCAGGAGCUCCGCUGUCCGCUUUGCCUUCUGCGGAGACAGACAAGGACCUGCUGGCGUGCGGAGGAUUCGAGAUAUGAAUGAAAUAUUGAACUAAAUAUCAGUCAUACCCUUCAAAAGCAGACAGUGACUGUGGACCUCCAGGGCUGAAUCCAUUCUCUUCAGCAUAAGCUAAAUAACCAAGCUCCUAGGCACUUGUGAGACAAGAACAGUUGUAAAGUCUACUACCCAGGUUUUUUUAAAGAACAUUUUCCUUCUCACUCUCUAUUGAGCUUGAAGUUUGUGGUUUCCAUUUCACACCUGAAGAGAGAUUUGCAUGCCUAAAACAUUCUUUUUUUGCGUCUUAUUGCCUUGAUGAAAAGACAUUACCUCUCCCUACAGCACUUGCCUGCAUGUGUCCUGAGAGAAAAAAAUGCAAACUGUAAUGACAGCACCCCACAACUGGCUCAACUAGGAAACCCUCACAGAAAAGAUUACCCUUAGAGUGAGCCAAUGUUUUGCCUAGUCUGACAUGUCAGGUUUUGACCCUGUGCUUCCAAUAUAAAGCCCUCCCAGAAGAAUUGAAUCAAAAUAUCUCAGCUUAAUCAACAUCAUAUUUAUGUAUAAAACAGACUUAUUGAGCUUUUGGUAAGUGACCUAGUAACAAAAGCAAGGUGUCAAAGGAUUUACCCUUUCAUACUCAGUGUGGGCCAACAAGCCAAUAUAUCAUCUGCGUUGCAAAGCAAAUGAACAAUGCUGAGACCAUUAAUCAGCUUGUCCAAGUGAAUAAAAUUUCAAAAGCUGAUGUAAAAGCUUGGCUUUCAAAGCAAACAUUUCAUGUGGAUCUGCAUGUCCAUCUAAUGAUGGAUUAGUUAACCCUGAGAGAUGAAGAAGACUCCAGCCCUAUGUUUGAGGGGGCAAUGUCUGUAAAUCUGACUAAGUACAGAGAAAGAUUGUAAAGAAAUUAGAGAUAUGGGAAGUAGUUUUACAAAAGUUGGUCGCCUGCCAUUGGUGUCUCAAACUUCAGUGCAUGAUAUUAAACACAAUGAAUAAAAAACACCUUGUUUUGAGUCCUAUCCACAGGCUGCAAGUUGUGAUUAAAUGUAUGUUUUUU